rnacentral:rRNA from 1 species
UACGUAGGGGGCAAGCGUUGUCCGGAUUUAUUGGGCGUAAAGCGCGCGCAGGCGGCUUGGUAAGUCGGCCGUGAAAUCUCCAGGCUCAACUUGGAGGGGUCGGGCGAGACUGCCAGGCUUGAGGUGGGUAGAGGGCAGUGGAAUUCCGGGUGUAGUGGUGGAAUGCGUAGAGAUCCGGAGGAACACCAGUGGCGAAGGCGGCUGCCUGGGCCUGGCCUGACGCUGAGGCGCGAAAGCGUGGGGAGCAAUCCGG